UGGCUUUCAGGUUUCUUAUCUGGUUUG
rnacentral:piRNA from 1 species